AGACUCCAAAAGCACGCUCCACUGGGCCUGCCCCUGCGAUCUUAAAACAGAUGUCCGUGAAAUGUGACCCAUGAAUAGCAGUUAUCUGGAGAGAGAGCUCUGAAGCUGAUGAAACCAUUAGAGCCACUGAAGGCACCUGGUAAAUGCGAUGCGGGGAGUACAGAAGAGAGAAUCAGAAACACACCGGCACUCUCAUUCCCAUGAGGCCACUUACAGUGGGUAAAACGUCGCUUGAGAAGAGCGGAAAUAUCAAGCAGAACAGGGGAAAAACUCAAUCGUCAUCUUGGAAAGUCGCGAUGGCGUGUGUGUGUGGAGGGGAGAGUCCUUUGUUUGCACACAAACAGCAGCUCCAGCCUGAAUGAGAAGCACGUCCUCCUGGGAGUUACGUCAGCAGCCUGACCUUCCAUCUUCCUCCUCUAAAGAAGCGUCCCUGCCACCCUGAGCACGAAGCCCUCGGGUUCCUAAAGGCCGAGGCGCUUCUUCUCAUUUACUUCCCUUGAGGAAGAAAGACCAGCCCAUCCACCCUCAUUUCCCACCGAAGGGCAUCGCAAAUAAAGUUUGCCCACGCAACCAGGCCACCACCAUUAAUUUCUCUCUGCCCUGCUCUUACAUUCUCCUCAAGGUUUUCAGUCCCCUAGAGAGGCUCCCUUCCCUCUUUUCUUUCCUUCCUCCAGCCCCCCUUUUCACCUCCCUCCACCAUUGUUUGAGGUUAAGAAGCAUGCUACGGUGUUCUAUAAAUCACUUGGCAAGAGUAGACGACAAAAGCAAAAUAUAAUUCAGAUUAAAGUCAUCCUCCCGCUGAAAUGAUAGUUUCUUAAAUAAAUGGCGAUGCUGCCUAUCAAU
rnacentral:lncRNA from 1 species